CGUUCAACUUCCUCCCGAAGUUCGUAGUGAAAAUAUUCAUGUCCUUGAGAGUUCCCCUAAGGGUUACCCUUCCGAGACGAGGGACAAAUACCCUUUUCCUUCUCCCCUUGAAAAGAAGCACGCCCCAUCUUUCUAUCGGGAGAUUGAUGGUUCUUGGCGUCAGUGGUCCGUUCUUGUCCGUAACGGUUUCCACGUCGUCCCUAUCCUUGACCGGGACGAAUAUAGAACCGGGUAUGGUUCCUUCUGUACAGUCUCUCUGACUGAUAUUCCGGGCUACCCCCUUUCUUCUAACGCGGGUAGUUGCUCUAACACCCUUUCCUUGGAUGCUGCCCGAAAAAUUUUGAGGGGGUUAGAGCUUAGGGAGAGAGUGUAUUGGGCGUACCCCUCUGAGAACACUGGCGAUGUGCCCCCCUACUUCAUGCUGGCACUCCAUCGAGUGUAUUUCACUAACUUUCCGAUCCUUCCGAUCCCUUCUAUUAUUAGUGAAAUACUUCUUUACUCUGGAACGUGCAUCUCCCAGAUGGGUGCCGCCUUUUUCU
rnacentral:lncRNA from 1 species